rnacentral:lncRNA from 1 species
ACAGGCAAGAGCAGGGGUUAAGGCCAUGUCUCCAGACAUUGAGUACCUCGAAUCAGGCGAGGGGAGCUGGCACCCAAAACCAUGCCUGGCCAACUGUGGCACUGAGUCGCGCUGGCCUUCACAGCUGCACCGGCUCCUGGCUGAAUAAAAUGGUUUUUAUUUUGUUUUGUUUGUUUGAGACAGAGUCCCACUGUGUAGGCUUCUGCCUCCUGAACACUGGGGUUAAAGGUGUGUGACCACUAAGAUUGGCCCGAAGAAAAGUUUCUGGAAGGGGGAGACUGUGUUAGGGAAGGUGUGGUAGAAGGUGGCUGGACGGAGCAGGGAGCUGGCUGGCUGUGGACAUUUUACUUGUAGCAAGGCUGCACCACAUAAAAGUUCCAUGAUCCCGUGCCCCACCCCACUUCCUCCCCAAACAGUGUCACUUCCAGGAAAGCGAGUUACCAGCUAUACUUCAGACUUCAGGAUGUUAAUAUGCAGAAUAUAUAAAGAACUUCAGAAUUUAUAAUGCAGAUUCCAAACUGCCAAUGAGUGAAUGGCCUGAUGAACUCAAAAGAAGAAGCUCAAAUGGCCGAUAUUAAAAGCUGUUUGACUUUAAUAGCCAUGAGAGAAAUGUGAUUUGCAUUGCUUUGAGGUUCCAUCUUACCAGGUCAGAAUGGCAAACAUUAAAAAAAAAAAAAAAAAAAAAAAAAAAAAAAAAAAAAAAAGGAAAAGAAAACAAAUACUGGCAAGGGAAGAGGCACCUUUAUUCACAGUUGGUGAGAGUGUAAACUGGUACAGCCAGUAUGGGAAUCAGUAUGGUGGUUUCUGAAGAAUUUAAAAAUAGAAGUCCUGUAUGACUUAACUAUCCACAGCCUGGGCAUGGACCCAAAGAACACUGUCCUACCUCAGAGAUACUUGCACUUGCAUGUCUGAUCUUCUCUUCAUAAUAGCAGGAAAAUAAAAUCAGCCUGGAAGCUCAUCAGUAGUCAUACAUAAGGAAAAUGUGGCCUUAGCUAUACAGUGAAAUUUUAUUUAUGUGCAAAAAAAAAAAAAAGUUUGCAGGGAAAUAGAUGGAUCUAGAAAUUUUUACACUGUCUGAGGUCACCCAGACUCAGAAAGACAAAUUCUUCAUUUCUUCUCAGAGGCGGAUUCUGGCUUUUGAUGUUUAUAUUUGUAUAUGUGUGGGUGGGAGUGUGGGCAGACGGCAUGAAACAAGAAGGGAAAAAGAAGUUUUGAGGAAGGCAUUUGGCAAGAAAGUGGAUGGAGGACUUUUAGGGGUAGGUACAAGUGGGAGGGUGGUCAGAGGGAUGAGAAGGAUCAACAAAAAUGAUGUAUUACUUUGUAUACUAAAACAAAAUACUAUGCAGAGGGUGCUAAUUUCUAAACACUCUUCCUAUGGUAUCUUGACCUGUUGAAAUCCUUAGACCAGCAUAUUUCAAGCAUAGUAGGAUUCUGGCAUCAGUGGUUUCUUAGUGUUCUACUGCUGUGAGGAGACACCAUGAUCUUCUAAAAGAAGACAUUUAAUUGGGUGAUUGCUUAAAGGUCUAGAAGGCUAGUCUAUUCUCAUUAUGGCAGGGCAUGGAACACUUGUGGUACUAGAGUAGUGUGUGGGCUUUUGAAGCCUCAAAACCCACUCCAGUGACACAUUUCCUCCAACAAGGCCACACCCACUCCAAGAAGGCCACACCUCUUAAUCCUUCUAAUCCUUUCAAACAGUUCCACUCCUUGGUGAUGAGGCAUUCAAAUAUAUGAGCCUAUGGUGGUCAUUCUUAUUCAGACUAUCACAAUGGAAUAUGAUUAAAAAUAGGUUGGCCAGUGAGAAACAAUUGUAUAUUGCAAAUACUGUUUAGUUUCUCUUAUGAAUGAUUACUUUCCAAAAUCUGUAUUUAUUAUGAGCCAUUUGUAAAAUGGCAACAACUUUUUCAUCCUAUAAAGUAAGUGAAUAUAAGACUAUGUAACUGUGUAUGAGAGUACUAUCUUAUCACAUGCAAGACCUUGGGUUGAAUUUCC